UACGGAGGGUGCAAGCGUUAUCCGGAUUCACUGGGUUUAAAGGGUGCGUAGGUGGGUUGGUAAGUCAGUGGUGAAAUCUCCAGGCUUAACUUGGAAACUGCCAUUGAUACUAUCAAUCUUGAAUACCGUGGAGGUCAGCGGAAUAUGUCAUGUAGCGGUGAAAUGCUUAGAUAUGACAUAGAACACCAAUUGCGAAGGCAGCUGGCUACACGAAUAUUGACACUGAUGCACGAAAGCGUGGGGAGUCGAAACAGGAUUAAGGAUACCCCGGUAGUCCAGCAUCCAAACGUCGUCUAGCUACCCGGU
rnacentral:rRNA from 1 species